GGGGAUUUAGCUCAGCGGUAGAGCGCUUGUCUAGCAAGCACAAGGUCCUGGGUUCGGUCCCCAGCUCCA
rnacentral:tRNA from 1 species